rnacentral:rRNA from 1 species
UACCGGCACCCCGAGUGGUCGGGACGAUUAUUGGGCCUAAAGCAUCCGUAGCCGGUUUUACAAGUCCUCCGUUAAAUCCAGCUGCUUAACAGAUGGGCUGCGGAGGAUACUAUAAGACUAGGAGGCAGGAGAGGCAAGCGGUACUCAGUGGGUAGGGGUAAAAUCCGUUGAUCCAUUGAAGACCACCAGUGGCGAAGGCGGCUUGCCAGAAUGCGCUCGACGGUGAGGGAUGAAAGCUGGGGGAGCAAACCGGG